rnacentral:lncRNA from 10 species
CCAUCUAACUCAUAAAAUUAUAUGAAAUGUAUACUAUCUCCAUUUUACAGAUGGGGAAAUUGAGCCUCAGAGUGAUAAAGUAACUUCCCCAAAGUCAUGUAGCUAGUAAAUGAAAGUGAUGAGACUCACACUAGGUUCUUCUAAGUUUUUAGAGUACUUCGUCCACGGCGCCAAGGUGUCUAGGGCAGAGACACCACAACCUCCUAAGGAUAUAAAGAGCUCCUACAAGUCAAUAAAUAGCCCAGUGAAAAACUAGAGAAGGAUAGGAAGAACAAUUCACGAAAGAAGAAGUAAAAAUAAACAGAUGAAAAGAUGCUCAGUUGCACCGAUAAGGAAAUGCAAAUUAAAACAAUAAAACACAGCCAGGCAUGGUGGCUCAUGCCUGUAAUCCCACCGAGGCUGAGGCAGGAGGAUCCAUUGAGGCCAGGAGCUCCAGACCAGCCUGAACAACGUAGCAAGAUCCCACUGAGAGGACUGUUUGAGCCCAGGAGUUCCAGGUUACAGUGAGCUAUGAUUGUGCCACUACACUGUAGCCUGGGCAACAGAAUGAGACCCUGUCUCAAA